rnacentral:rRNA from 1 species
UUAGCGGCGGACGGGUGAGUAACGCGUGGAUAACCUACCUAUAAGACUGGGAUAACUUCGGGAAACCGGGGCUAAUACCGGAUAACACAUGAAACCGCAUGGUUUCAUGAUGAAAGACGGUUUUGCUGUCACUUAUAGAUGGACCCGCGGCGUAUUAGCUAGUUGGUAAGGUAACGGCUUACCAAGGCAACGAUACGUAGCCGACCUGAGAGGGUGAUCGGCCACACUGGAACUGAGACACGGUCCAG